CUUGCCUUUAAUGCAAUUAAAGAAAAAAAAGUUUAUUUGUAAAAAACAAGAAUUGUGUUCUCUGCGGCAUUGCUAGGUAUAAGAAACACUUAGGGCUUGAGCCCGAAUGAAACAAAGACGUGAGGAUAUGUCAUGGCAGUUCCCCACCUUUCUAUAUUUGGUCCACUCUUCUUUUAUUUAUUUUUUUGUAUUUUUGCUAUGCAUAAUGACAUUACAAACACGCUUGAG